CUGUGGCUUGGAUCUGAUCCCUGACCCAGGAACUCCAUAUGCUGAAGGGCAGCAAAAAAAAAAAAAAAAAAAAAAAAAGAAGAAAUGAUAAUAAUAAACUUUUAAAAAAUAUAUAUUAAUGCAAAAUAUUUAUAUGUAAAUAAUUAGAUCACCAGUUUAAAAUUUUAUAACAUAUUUUGCAUUCUUAAGUCUAUACUCAUAAGAGUUCAUGAUGUAUCAUUCUUAUGGUGAGUUUUAUAGUAGAAGGCAGUUAUAGUAUAAGACUCAAUUUUAAUCCAUGCACUAUAAUAUAUAGAGCUAUCAUUUUAAUGAAGGCUAAAAAUAAGAAAUUUUAGAUACCUAAGGAUGUUCACAUACUAUAUAUAUAUGUGUGUGUGUGUAUAUAUAUAUAUCUCAACUGCUUUUUUUUAAAUGAGAACUUCACAUUUUCAAAAAAGCAAAUUUUCUUGUGUAUGAGUGUUUUGUUUCUCUUCUACUGUAGAAGAAAUCUGCUGCAUCGGAAUAUUUAAAACAAACUGGGGAAUCUCUAUUUACACCAUGAAUUUCAGGCAGAAAUAAUUUAAUAGUAUUUUGAUAUAAUCCUGAGGCAUUCUUGACUACCCUUAGUGCUAAUGAUAGGAAGGUUAGUGAAUACAUAGUAAGGUGGAAAUUACCUAUUCAUCAAAGUCUGGUAUUGAAACAUAAGAUAAUGUAAUACAACUUUGAGCUAAUCAUCUUAUGACUCCAAAUGUCCAAAAUGAUAAAGUCAUAGUGUUCCCGUCGUGGCUCAGCGGAAACGAAUCUGACUAGCAUCCAUGAGGACACAGGUUCGAUCUCUGGCCUCAUUCAGUGGGUUAAGGAUCCGGUGUUGCUGUGAGCUGUGGUGUAGGUCACAGGUGCAGCUUGGAUCUGACAUUGCUGUGGCUGUGGUAUACACGUGCAGCAACUACAGCUCUGAUUCGACCCCUAGCUUGGGAUCCUCCAUAUGCCAUGAGUGUCACCCUAAAAAUAUAUAUAUGUUGGUAUAUAAAAUAAAGAUUUUAGUGUGUCUUCCACAACAGCUCUGAAUUUAGCUCAAGGCAGGCAUUGAAUAUACACAUAAAAUAUUAUUCAAGGUCUAUGUUAAAUCUUGAGACUCGAAUCUUGUAUGUCCCAGAAUUGUAUGGACCUGUGACUCAUGGAAUGUCAAAUUUAGACCAGAAUAAUGUUUUUAUACCAACUGGUAGCUGUAGGAGUGUUCCCUGUGGUCUCUGGAUGGAAAAGACAAUCAAGCAGCUGGGUCCUACUAGUCUUCUAAGAAACAAAUCAAGAAACCUCAUCAGCAAGGCUGACGGUUGCCUUUUAUAUUAUCUUUGGAAUGAACAAAACCCUUGGGCCUGAUGGGCAGCUGCUUCUUUACUGCCCUCCACUUCAAGGCUUUCCUCAAUACAAUUCCUAAAGCCCUGAAUGUACUCCUCCUGCAGAAAGAUGCCUGGAAAAGCCCUUGCAAGCUUCAUACAGAAAAAGACCUGAGUUGUAAAACCAUUAACUGGUCAUAACCAAAGUAUUAGGAAUAUAGGGACACUCUCCUUCCCUAAACUGAAAAGCCCUAUGAAAGAUUUUUAUGUACUUGUAGAUAAUAUCAUUUUUAUUUAUGACAUAUAAAUUUAAGUCUUUCAAGGAGAAAAUUCAGUCAAGUGAGAUCCAUUGGUAGUUUGAGUUCAAAGCCAGUGAGCAAAUGGAAAUCGUUGCAGCAUCUCUUUCAUUUCCCUAGUGGACAUUAGACCACUCAAAAUGUGUCACAUAAUUUACAGUCCCUUGAUAGUAAUUGAAUAUACACAUUGAGAGCACACUGGCAGAACACUUAAGGAAGAUUGAAUGCAUGAGGGCCUGCUUAUGUUAUUUUUGGCUCUACCCUGGCUUUUGCUUUUAAUAUUUUUUUCUUGAGAUUAAUUUUAAUUUGAUUCUUCCAUCCUAUCCAAACAAAAGCUUUGGGAAAAGAGAUUAGUAGCAUCAAAGACACUUUGAUUUUUAGUUUCAGAGACAUUGUGAUGUAAUGACAAAAGAAGGACAAAAUAAAACCUGCAAUUUCACCAUGAGUCAUAUUUAAACUGGAAGAACAGUUGAAUCGAGCAACCAAAGAGAAAGAUGACUUUUGAGCUAUUUCCUAAAUGUAGAGUGGGAUUUUACAAAUUUUAAGUUAUUAUUUCUAUUUUAAUAUUUAAUAUAGCUAUAAAUAGUGAGGGAAAUAAGAUAAAGUGUGACAUGAAAAAUUGCUUUAACACCAAUAAUUCUAAAUCUCUAUUUUUUUUAUGUGUGUGCCAACACAUUUUUAAUUUUUUGGCAUAUUUUAUAGGAAGUCACUUUUGAAAUGAUUUGUUCACCAUGCAACACAGAAUCUUCCUUGGUGGUAUCCUCUAAUAUUUAAGAGGCUACAGAUCAAAGUAAUAAGGAUUUCAGCUUAAGUUUAUAAAGACUUCCAAGGGAGUUCCCGUCAUGGCACAGUGGAAACGAAUCUAACUAGGAACCAUGGGGUUGCCGGUUUGAUCCCUGGCAUUGCUCUGUGGAUUAAGGAUCCGGCGUUACCAGGAGCUGUGGUGUAGGUCACAGACAUGGCUUGGAUUUGGCGUUGCUGUAGCUCUGGCAUAGGCCAGCAGCUAUAGUUCUGAUUAGAGCCCUAGCCUGGGAACCUGCAUAUGCCGAGGGUGCGCCCCUAAAAAGACAAAAG
rnacentral:lncRNA from 1 species